rnacentral:rRNA from 1 species
UACGAAGGGGGCUAGCGUUGCUCGGAAUCACUGGGCGUAAAGAGCUCGUAGGCGGUUUGUCGCGUCUGCUGUGAAAACCUAAGGCUCAACCUUGGGCUUGCAGUGGGUACGGGCAGACUAGAGUGCGGUAGGGGUGACUGGAAUUCCUGGUGUAGCGGUGGAAUGCGCAGAUAUCAGGAGGAACACCGAUGGCGAAGGCAGGUCACUGGGCCGCAACUGACGCUGAGGAGCGAAAGCAUGGGGAGCGAACAGG